UAGCAGCUAGUUUAAUAAACAACUAAUUUCGGCUUAGUCGUUCUAGGUUUUAAUCCUUGGCUGCUCA
rnacentral:tRNA from 1 species